GACGAACGCUGGCGGCGUGCUUAACACAUGCAAGUCGAACGGUAAGGCCCCUUCGGGGGUACACGAGUGGCGAACGGGUGAGUAACACGUGAGCAACCUGCCCUUGACUCUGGAAUAACAGUUGGAAACAGCUGCUAAUACUGGAUAUUCAUCGUCUCCUUCCUGGGGGGUGGUGGAAAGCUCCGGCGGUCAGGGAUGGGCUCGCGGCCUAUCAGCUUGUUGGUGAGGUAAUGGCUCACCAAGGCUUCGACGGGUAGCCGGCCUGAGAGGGCGACCGGCCACACUGGGACUGAGAUACGGCCCAGACUCCUACGGGGGGCAGCAGUGGGGAAUAUUGCACAGUGGGCGCAAGCCUGAUGCAGCAACGCCGCGUGCGGGAUGACGGCCUUCGGGUUGUAAACCGCUUUCAGUAGGGACGAAGGGUGACUGACGGUACCUACAGAAGAAGGACCGGCUAACUACGUG
rnacentral:rRNA from 1 species